rnacentral:rRNA from 1 species
AGUGAACGCUGGCGGUAGACCUAACACAUGCAAGUCGAACGGCAGCACAGUAAGAGCUUGCUCUUACGGGUGGCGAGUGGCGGACGGGUGAGGAAUACAUCGGAAUCUACUUUUUCGUGGGGGAUAACGUAGGGAAACUUACGCUAAUACCGCAUACGACCUACGGGUGAAAGCAGGGGAUCUUCGGACCUUGCGCGAUUGAAUGAGCCGAUGUCGGAUUAGCUAGUUGGCGGGGUAAAGGCCCACCAAGGCGACGAUCCGUAGCUGGUCUGAGAGGAUGAUCAGCCACACUGGAACUGAGACACGGUCCAGACUCCUACGGGAGGCAGCAGUGGGGAAUAUUGGAUAAUGGGCGCAAGCCUGAUCCAGCCAUACCGCGUGGGUGAAGAAGGCCUUCGGGUUGUAAAGCCCUUUUGUUGGGAAAGAAAAGCAGCAGGUUAAUACCCCGCUGUUCUGACGGUACCCAAAGAAUAAGCACCGGCUAACUUCGUG